UAACCCAUCAACUGUCAGCCAAUGGUC
rnacentral:piRNA from 1 species